rnacentral:rRNA from 1 species
UACGGGAGGCAGCAGUGGGGAAUAUUGCACAAUGGGCGUAAGCCUGAUGCAGCCAUGCCGCGUGUAUGAAGAAGGCCUUCGGGUUGUAAAGUACUUUCAGUCGUGAGGAAGGUGUUAAGGUUAAUAACCUUAGCAAUUGACGUUAGCGACAGAAGAAGCACCGGCUAACUCCGUGCCAGCAGCCGCGGUAAUACGGAGGGUGCGAGCGUUAAUCGGAAUUACUGGGCGUAAAGGGCACGCAGGCGGUUAAUUAAGUUGGAUGUGAAAUCCCCGGGCUUAACCUGGGAAUGGCAUUCAAGACUGGUUAGCUAGAGUCUUGUAGAGGGGGGUAGAAUUCCAUGUAUAGCGGUGAAAUGCGUAGAGAUGUGGAGGAAUACCGGUGGCGAAGGCGGCCCCUGGACAAAGACUGACGCUCAUGUGCGAAAGCGUGGGGAGCAAACAGGGAUUAGAUACC